AGAAGGGCAGAGGGUGGCAUUUAUGCUGAAAAGGGGGGUCGGCCAGGGGAUACACUAUCUUUCCCCUAGAUGAGGUGUUUCUCGGAUGGAUGGAAAUGAGAAGUGUCUACGGCCCUCUACCAGGCUUCUUUUGGUGCCUCCCUGGAGAAAACAAUUUUCAGAACCCCAGAUGGAAGAGAGGUCCCUGCUGCAUGAGGCCAAGGCCCCAGGGUCUUAAGGAACCCAGGCUGAUACUUCCAAGCAAACCAAGGAAACCUGCCUCGGAUGAACUGCUGGUGUGCUCCUGGUGGUCUUUUGCUCGUGGAUCUUGACACAGCACACAACCUAUGGCCGAAGGAGAGAAGACUGCAAAUUAAAAGCAAGUAUUAUUAUUCUCAAGCUGUGUCUAAACCACAUAAGCAAAGAGCCAGAAUACAUCCAAGUGACGAUUUUUUAAAAUGCCAUUUAAAAAAGUGGCAGCUGCCAAAUCUUAUGAUUAAUGAACUCUGGAACCGCCUAAAUGAAAAGUACACCCAAAUAUAUUUUUUUAAGAUUUUAUUUAUUUAUUCACGAGAGACACAGAGAGAGAGAGAGAGGCAGAGAGAGACAUAGGCAGAGGGAGAAGCAGGCUCCAUGCAGGGAGCCUGAUGUGGGACUCGAUCCCAGGUCUCCAGGAUCACAACCUGAGCCGAAGGCAAUCGCUUAACCACUGAGCCACCCAGGUGUCCCAGUACACCCAAAUAUUGCAGAAGAAACAGCUCUCAGGCACCUGGGUGGCUCAGUUGGUUGAGCAUCUGACUUGGGCUUGAGUUGUGACCUCGGAGUCCAGGGAUCAAGUCCGGCA